rnacentral:rRNA from 1 species
UCUCCGAAAAAAUUACGCUGUUAUCCCUAAGGUAAGUUAAUCUUAUAAUCAAAAAUUUUGGAUCAAAAAAACAUAAAUUAAUGAAAAAAUUAUUAAAAAUUAAAUAAAUUUUAAUGUCACCCCAACAAAACUCUAUAUUCUAAAAAAUCGUUUAAUAAACAAAAAACAAAAAUUAAUAAAUAAAGUAAACUUCUAUAGGGUCUUCUCGUCCUAUAAAAAAAUUUUAGCUUUUUAACUAAAAAAUUAAAUUCAAAAUAAUUAAAAAAAGAAAGUUUAUUUUUCAUUAGACCAUUCAUGCUAGCCUUCAAUUAAAAGACAAAUGAUUAUGCUACCUUCGUACAGUUAAAAUACCGCAGCCUUUAAAUUCUUUUAAAUCAGUGGGCAGGCCUGAUCUCAAAUUAAAAUCAAAAGACC